GCUUGAGGAUGGUCCAUCACAGUAUCUAGACAGGAUUGGGCCUGGUCAGUAUUUGGAUGGGAGACCACCUGGGAACCCCAUUUGGGUUGCUUUGAACU
rnacentral:rRNA from 1 species